UACAGAAAAUACAAGCGUUAAUCGGAAUUACUGGGCGUAAAGCGUGCGUAGACGGUCAUUUAAGUCGGGUGUGAAAUCCCCAGACUCAACCUAGGAAUUGCAUUCGAGACUGAAUGGCUAGGGUACGAUAGAGGGAAGCGGAAUUUCCGGUGUAGCAGUGAAAUGCGUAGAUAUCGGAAGAAACAUCAGUGACGAAAGCGGCUUCCUGGACCAGUACCGACGUUCAGGCACGAAAGCGUGGAGAGCAAACAGG
rnacentral:rRNA from 1 species